UAAUGCAUGUAAGCAUUUAGUUUGAGUUAUUUUACCUAAGGAGUUUAUAUUGCUGAUUCUUGUCAGCUAGUCAGAUGCCUUUGAGAAAUUCUUUUUAAUUUUAAACAUCAUAAUCGUAUAGUGUCUGCCGUCAGGAAGUUCCAAGAAUUAUGUGGUAGUAUAGCUAUUUAAUGCCAAGGAGAAGUGAAUAGGUUGCCUAAAGUUUGACUGAAAAAACUAGGACCUUAUUAUAGGUCUCCUAUUAUGGAGAAAGGAUACCAUGUAUUAAAGUAGAAUUUGUCAACAGAGAGAAAAUCAACUGUUUGUAUAUGAAGGGUGAUUUUUCACUUUAAAGUUUGGACUACUUCAGAUAUUUUGAGAUCUUGAGAGUCUCCAUAGCUAUUGGUAUUGUGAAUUCCUGCAACAUGUAAUACGGUGCCUACCACAGUCGUGCAGCGCUCUGAUCUUUUUGGUGUUGAUAGCUUUAUAUAUAA
rnacentral:lncRNA from 1 species